rnacentral:misc_RNA from 1 species
UUUUUCAACCAAAAUUUUACUGUUUGCAAUCUUUUAGAGCUUUCAUAUAUCAGUAUAGAUUUUGAAAUUCUCAAAAUGGCUUGGAUUUUAUACCGAUCUAAGCUGAAACUUCUAUCACAUCAGUUCAAGAGAUGCUACGUUCAAACUCCUUAUGCCUCUUUCCUUAAUUACACUACUAAAAGCUCAAAAUCAUGCCCAUCAGAAUAUCCAAUUUGGGACAUUUGUAAGAAAUCUAUUUGUAGGAGACCCACUGAUUUUUGCAACAAUGUCAGGUUUUUUGCUGCCCCAGUUCAGGUCAAGGCAAAGAAGGAAGAGGACGCUGGUGGGCCACGUUUAAAUGACAACAUCAAAGCUCAGUUUGUUAGGCUGGUAACUGAUGAAGGGCAUGGUGUUGUCUCACUGCGUGAAGCACUGGAAUUAGCAGAGAAACUCAAACUUGAUUUAGUUGAGGUUGAUAGAAAUGCGGAUCCACCUGUUUGUAAAAUCAUGGACUUUCACAAGGAGCAGUACAAACGACAUGUGGUGGAAAAGGACCGUGCUAAAAGCAAGUCAGAGGUGACGUUAAGGAAAGGCGACUGCAAAGAAGUUCGAUUUUCUGAGAAAACAGAACAAAAGGACCUGAAGAUGAAAGCAGAUUCCGUAUUAAGGCUGAUUCAGCGUGGUUAUCGAGUGAAGUGUAUGGUCUUACGUUCAUCAAAGAAGGGCUCUGGUAGAAAGGAUUCUGAUGAUGAAGAUCUAACUGAAGAAGAAAUAGCCGAGAGGAAAAGACAAGAAGAAAAAGAGGAGGAGGAAUCAAAAGCAUUGCUAUCUCGUCUCACUGCUUUGAUCCAAGAUGAAUUUGUUGUGGAGAGUGGACCAAGGGUGGAGAAAAGACAAGCAUUUGUGAUUAUUAGGCAUGCCAAGUUUGGGCCAUUGAAGAAAGGUAGUGCAAAAAAGUUGGAUGCUGAAAAGGUCACCAUUUCACAGCCAACUGCCAACCAUUCUAGUAUGCAUUGUAGAGAGGAGAUGUAUCGUCCAUCACAAGCUGAUUCCCCUAAGAUGAACUUUAAUAGUCCACACGUAUCGCAUCCUAGACCAGUAGAUGAUUCUAAACAAGCAGACAGACUUCCAUCCUCAUCACAACCUUCCCUUGAGACUGAAAACAGGUAUAGAAGAAGUGAACCAAGGGAGCGGUUCCCACCCCCUUCAUCAGGGGAUAGUAGGGGACCAGAUAAGACGGAGUCCUUCAGGUUUGGAUCCCAAUUCUCACAUCCAAAUGGGCACACACAGUCAGAGAUAACUGUUGCUCCCUCAGUGAGAGAAGGGAAACCGAAUCAGAUUGAUUCCUUUGCUUUUGGAAACAGAAAGCUUCCUCGGGCUGAAAUGCUCAAGCAAGACCCUAAUCGUCCUGAUGCUACCAGUACCCAGUCAUCCAACUAUGGAAUAUUUAGCUCCCCAAAUGCGGCUACUCCCAGAAAACAAGGUGUGACAGCAGAAUUUAAUAACAACAGGGAAGGAAUCCCUUAUAAUUCUAGCAAAAAUCCCAACACAGGAGGGUUUGCAGCAGAUCCUAGGUUCUCAACUUCAAAACCCUAUGGUGACCGAAGGCCAGGCGAUGAUGGUAGCAGACAAGGGAGAUGGGGGAGGGUCAGGAGAGA